rnacentral:rRNA from 1 species
UGAACGCUGGCGGCAGGCCUAACACAUGCAAGUCGAGCGGUAGAGAGAAGCUUGCUUCUCUUGAGAGCGGCGGACGGGUGAGUAAUGCCUAGGAAUCUGCCUGGUAGUGGGGGAUAACGCUCGGAAACGGACGCUAAUACCGCAUACGUCCUACGGGAGAAAGCAGGGGACCUUCGGGCCUUGCGCUAUCAGAUGAGCCUAGGUCGGAUUAGCUAGUUGGUGAGGUAAUGGCUCACCAAGGCGACGAUCCGUAACUGGUCUGAGAGGAUGAUCAGUCACACUGGAACUGAGACACGGUCCAGACUCCUACGGGAGGCAGCAGUGGGGAAUAUUGGACAAUGGGCGAAAGCCUGAUCCAGCCAUGCCGCGUGUGUGAAGAAGGUCUUCGGAUUGUAAAGCACUUUAAGUUGGGAGGAAGGGCAUUAACCUAAUACGUUGGUGUCUUGACGUUACCGACAGAAUAAGCACCGGCUAACUCU